rnacentral:rRNA from 1 species
AUGGCUGUCGUCAGCUCGUGUCGUGAGAUGUUGGUUAAGUCCCGCAACGAGCGCAACCCUUGCCAUUAGUUGUCAGCGAGUCAUGUCGGAUUACUCUAAUGGGACUGCCGGUGACGAGCCGGAGGAAGGUGGGAUGACGUCAAGUCAGCAUGGCCUUUAUGUCUAGGGCUACACACGUACUACAAUGGCCGGUACAAAGGGCAGCCACUCAGCGAUGAGGCGCUAAUCCCAUAAAGCCGGUCUCAGUCCGGAUCGCAGUCUGCAACUCGACUGCGUGAAGUUGGAAUCGCUAGUAAUCGUAGAUCAGCAUGCUACGGUGAAUACGUUCCCGGGCCUU